rnacentral:rRNA from 1 species
UAAUAGACUACCCUGGUAGUCCCACGCCCUAAACGAUGCGAACUGGAUGUUGGGUACAUUACGGUGCUCGAGUGUCGAAGCUAACGCGUUAAGUUCGCCGCCUGGGGAGUACGGUCGCAAGACUGAAACUCAAAGGAAUUGACGGGGGCCCGCACAAGCGGUGGAGUAUGUGGUUUAAUUCGAUGCAACGCGAAGAACCUUACCUGGCCCUGACAUCUGUCGAAUCCUGCAGAGAUGCGGGAGUGCCGCAAGGAACGACAAGACAGGUGCUGCAUGGCUGUCGUCAGCUCGUGUCGUGAGAUGUUGGGUUAAGUCCCGCAACGAGCGCAACCCUUGUCCCUAGUUGCCAGCACGUAAUGGUGGGAACUCUAGGGAGACUGCCGGUGACAAACCGGAGGAAGGUGGGGAUGACGUCAAGUCCUCAUGGCCCUUACGGCCAGGGCUACACACGUACUACAAUGGUCGGUACAGAGGGUUGCGAAGCCGCGAGGUGGAGCCAAUCCCAAGAAAACCGAUCCCGAGUCCGGAUCGGAGUCUG